UGUGGUCGAAAGGAGCUCCCAUCGGUCCAAAACGAGGACGACAGAGGGUGUACCCGCCUGCUGAUUCAUGGAUGCCUCUAGGGUGCGCAGGUUAACAAUGCUGUACGCACAGCUUAAGGGUUUGCAUGACUCAGGAGACGUGCUUGCCUUCUCAUUUCUUUGCUUGGAUUGAUGGGAGCUCCAUCAUUUUGCUCC
rnacentral:pre_miRNA from 2 species